rnacentral:rRNA from 1 species
GUGGCGAACGGCGGAGUAAGACAUGAGCAACGUGCCCCUAUGACUGGGAUAUACAGAGGAAACUCUGGGCAAUACCGGAUGUGGCCAACCUUUGGCAUCUUUGGUUGACUAAACGGAUUCAUUCGCAUAGGGAGCGGCUCAUGACCCAUCAGGUAGUUGGUAGGGUAAUGGCCUACCAAGCCGACGACGGGUAGCGGGUCUGAGAGGAUGAUCCGCCCGAGUGGGACUGAGACACGGCCCACACACCUACGGGUGGCAGCAGUUGGGAAUCUUGCACAAUGGGGGAAACCCUGAUGCAGCGACGCCGCGUGGAGGAUGACGGAUUUAGGUCUGUAAACUCCUUUUGCUAGGAAAGACUUAGGACGGUACCUAGCGAAUAAGCUCCGGCUAACUACGUGCCAGCAGCCGCGGUAAUACGUAGGGAGCAAGCGUUGUCCGGAUUUACUGGGCGUAAAGGGCGCGUAGGCGGCCUGUUAAGUGUGGUGUGAAAUCUCCAGGGCUCAACCCGGAAACUGCACCGCAUACUGGCAGACUAGAGGAAUGUAGAGGUAGAUGGAAUUCCCCGUGUAACGGUGACAUGUGUAGAUAUGGGGAGGAACACCAAUUGCGAAGGCAGUCUACUGGGCAUUUCCUGACGCUGAGGCGCGAAAGCGUGGGUAGCAAACAG